UGAGGAAUAUUGGUCAAUGGGCGGAAGCCUGAACCAGCCAAGUCGCGUGAGGGAUGACGGUCCUAUGGAUUGUAAACCUCUUUUGCCGGGGAGCAAAGCCGACCUUGCGAGGUUGGAAGGAGAGUACCCGGAGAAAAAGCAUCGGCUAACUCCGUGCCAGCAGCCGCGGUAAUACGGAGGAUGCGAGCGUUAUCCGGAUUUAUUGGGUUUAAAGGGUGCGUAGGCGGGGAGGUAAGUCAGUGGUAAAAUUUCGGUGCUUAACGCCGGACCGCCGUUGAAACUGCCCCUCUUGAGUGGGCGAGAAGUAUGCGGAAUGCGUAGGUGUGAGCGGUGGAAUGACAUAGAUAUCACGCAGAACUCCGAUUGCGAAGGCAGCAUACCGGCGCCCAACUGACGCUGAGGCACGAAAGCGUGGGUAUCGAACAGGAUUAGAUACC
rnacentral:rRNA from 1 species